rnacentral:rRNA from 1 species
UGUGCAGGCGGGCUGGCGUGUCGAUGGUGAAAGCUCCCGGCUUAACCGGGAAAGUGCUGUCGAAACUAUCAGUCUUGAGGGCGGAAGAGGAAACUGGAACUUCUGGUGUAGCGGUAAAAUGCGUAGAUAUCAGAAGGAACGCCGAUAGCGAAGGCAGGUUUCUGGGACGUUCCUGACGCUGAAACACGAAAGCUAGGGGAGCAAACAGGAUUAGAUACCCUGGUAGUCCUAGCUGUAAACGAUGUACAUUAGGCGUGGGGAGUUUACCCCGUGCCGGAGCCAACGCGUUAAAUGUACCGCCUGGGGACUACGGCCGCAAGGUUGAA